GACGAACGCUGGCGGCGUGCUUAACACAUGCAAGUCGAACGAAGAGCGAUGGAAGCUUGCUUCUAUCAAUCUUAGUGGCGAACGGGUGAGUAACGCGUAAUCAACCUGCCCUUCAGAGGGGGACAUCAGUUGGAAACGACUGCUAAUACCGCAUACGAUCUAAUCUCGGCAUCGAGGAUAGAUGAAAGGUGGCCUCUACAUGUAAGCUAUCACUGAAGGAGGGGAUUGCGUCUGAUUAGCUAGUUGGAGGGGUAACGGCCCACCAAGGCGAUGAUCAGUAGCCGGUCUGAGAGGAUGAACGGCCACAUUGGGACUGAGACACGGCCCAGACUCCUACGGGAGGCAGCAGUGGGGAAUCUUCCGCAAUGGACGAAAGUCUGACGGAGCAACGCCGCGUGAGUGAUGACGGCCUUCGGGUUGUAAAGCUCUGUUAAUCGGGACGAAAGGCCUUCUUGCGAACAGUUAGAAGGAUUGACGGUACCGGAAUAGAAAGCCACGGCUAACUACGUG
rnacentral:rRNA from 1 species